AGCGAACGCUGGCGGCAGGCCUAACACAUGCAAGUCGAACGGAUCCUUCGGGAUUAGUGGCGGACGGGUGGGUAACACGUGGGAACGUGCCCUUUGGUUCGGAACAACCCAGGGAAAUUUGAGCUAAUACCGGAUGUGCCCUUCGGGGGAAAGAUCUAUCGCCAUUGGAGCGGCCCGCGUCUGAUUAGCUAGUUGGUGAGGUAACGGCCCACCAAGGCGACGAUCCGUAGCUGGUCUGAGAGGAUGAUCAGCCACACUGGGACUGAGACACGGCCCAGACUCCUACGGGAGGCAGCAGUGAGGAAUCUUGCGCAAUGGGCGAAAGCCUGACGCAGCCAGGCCGCGUGAAUGAUGAAGGUCUUAGGAUUGUAAAAUUCUUUCAGCGGGGACGAUAAUGACGGUACCCGCAGAAGAAGCUCCGGCUAACUUCGUG
rnacentral:rRNA from 1 species